CCCUUAGAUGUUCUGGGCUGCACGCGUGUUACAAUCGGGAGUACAACAAGAUUGCAAAUCCUAGUGGAUGAGUGGUUCUUCGAAAUUUUCUGAAGACUGGGAUAGUUGAUUGAAAUUAUUCAACUCAAACGAGGAAUUCCUUGUAAUUGUAAUUCAUUAUAUUGUAAUGAAUACGUCCCUGCCCUUUGUACACACCGCCCGUCGCUCCUACCGAUUGAACGAUCCGGUGAAUUAUUUGGAGUAGCUCUGGAAGUCGCAGAACUUCCUAUGUCACGAAAUUUUGUAAACCUUAUCGUUUAGAGGAAGGAAAAGUCGUAACA
rnacentral:rRNA from 1 species